GUGAACGCUGGCGGUAGGCCUAACACAUGCAAGUCGAACGGCAGCACAGUAAGAGCUUGCUCUUACGGGUGGCGAGUGGCGGACGGGUGAGGAAUACAUCGGAAUCUACUUUUUCGUGGGGGAUAACGUAGGGAAACUUACGCUAAUACCGCAUACGACCUACGGGUGAAAGCAGGGGAUCUUCGGACCUUGCGCGAUUGAAUGAGCCGAUGUCGGAUUAGCUAGUUGGCGGGGUAAAGGCCCACCAAGGCGACGAUCCGUAGCUGGUCUGAGAGGAUGAUCAGCCACACUGGAACUGAGACACGGUCCAGACUCCUACGGGAGGCAGCAGUGGGGAAUAUUGGACAAUGGGCGCAAGCCUGAUCCAGCCAUACCGCGUGGGUAAAGAAGGCCUUCGGGUUGUAAAGCCCUUUUGUUGGGAAAGAAAAGCAGCAGGUUAAUACCCCGCUGUUCUGACGGUACCCAAAGAAUAAGCACCGGCUAACUUCGUG
rnacentral:rRNA from 1 species